rnacentral:rRNA from 1 species
GAUGAACGCUGGCGGCGUGCUUAACACAUGCAAGUCGAACGAGAAGUGGAGACGGAAACCUUCGGGCGGAAGACUUUAUUUCGAGUGGCGGACGGGUGAGUAACGCGUGGGUAACCUGCCUCAUACAGAGGGAUAACAGUUGGAAACGACUGUUAAUACCGCAUAAGACCACAGCACCGCAUGGUGCGGGGGUAAAAACUCCGGUGGUAUGAGAUGGACCCGCGUUCGAUUAGCCAGUUGGCGGGGUAACGGCCCACCAAAGCGACGAUCGAUAGCCGAUCUGAGAGGAUGACCGGCCACAUUGGGACUGAGACACGGCCCAAACUCCUACGGGAGGCAGCAGUGGGGAAUAUUGCACAAUGGGGGAAACCCUGAUGCAGCGACGCCGCGUGAGUGAAGAAGUAUUUCGGUAUGUAAAGCUCUAUCAGCGGGGAAGAAAAUGACGGUACCUGAGGAAGAAGCCCCGGCUAACUACGUG